rnacentral:lncRNA from 1 species
GGAACUCAUCACAUCUCCUCGCUGCUAUCCUAAAAACGCAGCCAGAAAUCAGAAGCUGUAUGUCACCUCUGCCCAGAAAUUGUCACACCACUUCAUAUUUACUUUUUAAGAGAGGAACCUCAGGCAUCUCAGAUGUGGUACCCUCCAAACUGACAAUAAAUCAGUCAUUCUCUGUUAUAGGCACUGCUUUAUAUCAAAGAAAUUGCUAAUAAUAUCAACUCCUUAGCUUUUAUUCCUUUGCUUUUCUCUCUUUUUUAGUUCUAAUCGCCAGUCUAAAGUCUCUGCCUGGAUUCCCUGAUCCAACCUGGCUGGAAAUUUCAGGUGCUGCUGAAACCACCCAGUUUGUCCCAGUGAAUACAGGGCAUGUUCCUGGGACUACUGCAAAGAGCAAAACAGGGCAACGCUGUGGGCACAUGGAGGAAGAAAAAUCCUGGAAAAAAUUAUGGCAACGAUCAAAUCCUCUGGUACUCAUUAAAAGGCAUAUCAAGUUCAAAAGAAAAUGUUGCCUCUCACUAAUGAGAAGAUUAAUCGCAUUCGCAUAUGCGGCAGACUUUGUCAAUUCUGUUGAAAGUUUGAUGACCUUUAAGAGACAAAGUUUUAGUAUGCCCAAAAUAAAUAAUUCAUCCUUCACAGAUUUGCCCUCUGUAUCCAUCUGCUU